rnacentral:rRNA from 1 species
UUAGUGGAAGCGUCUGGAAAGGCGCGCGAUACAGGGUGACAGCCCCGUACACAAAAGCGCAUGUGCUGUGAGCUCGAUGAGUAGGGCGGGACACGUGGUAUCCUGUCUGAAUAUGGGGGGACCAUCCUCCAAGGCUAAAUACUCCUGACUGACCGAUAGUGAACCAGUACCGUGAGGGAAAGGCGAAAAGAACCCCGGCGAGGGGAGUGAAAAAGAACCUGAAACCGU